AAGCUGCUUCUUCAUUCGCUGAGCGCUCAUGCUGUUCGCAGUCUGGCUGGCAGUCGGUCCUCUGCUUUUAAAGACCAACUUUGGCUGCUAGAAAUGCCACAUUCUCUCUCCGUAGCUAACUUUUGAAGGUCCUGCUGGUUUUUCCUUUCCAGCUGUUUUUGGACUUUGCCUUGGAGCAACUUCUACAGCGUCGUCUUUUCUUUUCCCGAACAAGCGUGCAGGUUCAAUCUUUGGCGUUACACAACCCUCGGGAGGAUUGUUUCAGACUCCUCGCGCACAAAGACCCCAGCGAUGAUCAUCAGGCUCGGCAGACUGACUCCUGGAUACUUCCGUCUCCUGCAGAGGCAGGUAGCUGGUGAGGUUCAGGCCCCGGCUCACGACCGCUCCGUCAACCAGAUCGCCAUGAUGCUGGCCAUCAUGGGCCUCAGCCUGUCGUAUUACAGCGCCAAACAAAUGACAGAGAAGGUCCGCCCCCAACCCGCCCCGUGAGGAUGUUUCCGGAUUGACGGCGUCCGGAAAAAGACGAAGCCAAACUGAAGAUGUCGAAGAUUCAGACUCUACCUUUUUUAUAACCUCCAGGGAUCACGCACCACGGGACUUCCACUUAGAGGUUCUCUUGCUUUAGUUUAGCCCUCAAUGGAUCUGGAAGAGGUCGCGGCCUGAGUUUUAAUAGUUGUCUUGAUACAUGCAUCAGAGAGUCAGUCGGGAUCAUAACCUGAGCUCCAUAGCAUCUGGAGCUCCACUCAGAGCCAUAAUGCUUUUCAAAAAGGGAAGGACCUCUGUGUUUUGAGAUGUACCAAGCAACUAUUGAAAGCAGGUCCAAUGCACAGAAGCGAAAUGCUCAGAUUUUCCUCCAAAAGACGCUAGAACAUCACAGCCUUGAGGACUUCUAGUGGAGGUGCUGCUGUACAAUACUACACUUGGUGUUAGACACUUUAGGAAACGUACUACACAGAGAGCAUUUGAGGACCUUAUGUUAAAGUGACUUGUUAACUUAAGAAAAUAUCUUCUCAAUGGUCUCCAACACUUUAAAUGUUAAUGCCGACUUUGUGUGCAAUUGCAUGAGUUUGAAGCCGUUUUUUUUUUCCUUUUUAGUGAAACCAAUCUGUAAUGUUCUUUCUAAUGCUUUUUCUUUUUAUGAUAAUGUGAUUUAAGAUGAAUGUACUGUGUGUAAUAUUUUUAAGACACAACGAUCAAAUAAAGCUGUGAAUAUUUUGAACACGAACAAGCAAUGGAAAGCAAGUCGUGACUCGAGACGGUCUAGAAACUGGCCAGACUCAUCGCUGUAGAUUUAAAUGUAAUUCCUGCUGAGUCGAGUUUUACACGAAACCAUCUGAAGGGUUUUCCUGUCGACAGAAGCGUGCUGUUGAACAGGAAGUGGGCACAGCCUCAGGCGACAGCUUCCUCUAUCUGCACGCAAUAUUUGUCUACCAGCGUGCUGCAGUCGGAUUUGUUUGACCCACAAUAAAUUCAAUAGACCUCAAUUACACAUUUGCACACAUUUGACACUUUAUUAAUUUUUUUUUUUUUUUGGUUACUGUGCUUUAAAUUUUGUUUUAAAUGGUGUUUGUGUGCCAUUUUAUUUUGCGUCUCAUUUCCAAAAGAGUGCUGUGGGGCAGUUAAAUGAAUUGUUGCAUUCUGGCCACUUUAUUUAUUUUUUUUAUUUAUUUUUUUUUUCUGUUAAUAUUAUCGGUCCGGACAAAAAUUUACAGACUUCCUAAAACAAAAAUUUGGGGGGAUCUUUGGUGCUUACCAGUCAAAAAUAAGCAUCCUACAAAAUAAAUUUCUCAUGCUCUAUGAUUUUUUUUUUUUUUUUUUUUUUUCUGAUUGCUUAUAGGCCUCAGUGAUCUGAGCUCAUGCACCUAAAUUAAAAUGAAAUUUAACUAUUUACACAGAUUUUAUUUUUUGUUGAGUAAGCUCAGAUCAGUGAGCCCUUUGUUUUCAGCACAGCACAAGGGUUUAACGCGGUGGUUUAAUGACACGUACAUAAAAAAAAAACCUUUCACCACUUGAGUGUUGAGUUUCAUUACCACCACAGUAACGCAAAAACGCCAACAAUGUGUUAGCCAAGCAUUUGUGUACUUGCAGAAAGUAUGUUUCUGGCCUUUCGUUGCACUAAUAUCCUGCACGUUAUCAUUACGAGCGAUCAUUUUUGUCAGACUUCUCCGAGAACUGAAGUGAGAUUACUUACGAGUGGGUGUUCCGUGAAUAAAACCUUAUUAUAGUCUUCCUUAAACACAGAGGUGUUUCAGGAACUCAAAUCUUGAGCCUGCUGAGCGCGUGUCACACGCUUUGCUCGCUGCAUGCUGGUUAUGCUGUGUACGGCUGAUUAGUUCGAGAGGAUGUUGUUGAUUGGAUAUUUGAAAGUCAAAGACUGAGUGUUGGGUCCUCAAAGAAGAAGAAGCGUUCAAUUGUUUUGCUGUAUCUCAGCUAAAUAACUUUUUUCCCUCAAAAAUUUUGGCACUUUCAAAAUAUUGCUCCGUUUGAGCAUGCAAACCCGGUCUGGCUCGUGACCUUUUGUCGGAGCAGAGUUUAUACUCUCAAAAUUGCUGCUUUAUUUUGCUUGGUGCAACGUCUUUGUUUCCUUCGUCAGCCAUGGCUUGCCCAUUGCUAAGCAGUUAAUGUGGCAUUGCAGUCUGUACGUGUUCAUGAGCGUUCGCAUGGAUGCUCGGGGCAGAUGUGAUGUCCUGUGACGGGCCGAGGCUGCAUUGCCUGACACGUGUUCUUCCUCCCGUCACCUUUAGCUCCUCCCUUUGCCGCUCUGCUGUCUGAUCACUGGGCAAAUACGCCCAAAAAAUACUUGCUCGGACCUUUUUAACACGCUGGUUCGGGACGUGAACCGCAUCCCGCUCGUCCCAUUGGCUGUCCGGGGAUGCAUCACGGUGUCGCUGCGGAAACAAAGCGAGGGGAUCACGUUGGCGAAAGAGUAUUGCGCGUGGUUGCUUUAAAAAAACGAGAAGGGAUGAAUAAAGAAGUAGACCUUUAUAUGUGAGCUCUUGUGUUUGGUUUGAUGGUGGUUUGUGGAUGUAAAUGCGGAAAGAAUAAUGUACUAAUGGUACUGUAUAUAUGAAUGUUUUGUAUUAACGAAUGAGACUUUGUUGAUCGUGAGCUUUCAUUAAAU